GAUUAUUUUACCAAAGUUUCACUUAAUUCUGCUCUUUCUCCUUGUCUAGUGAGACCAAAGUGUCUGGAUUGCAGGAAAGGCUGGAUUUCCUUCAGGGGGCACUGCUACUAUUUUUCUGAUUCAGAUCAUCAUUCAAAUAUCUGGGAGGCGACUCGACAGUUGUGUCAGUUUGAUAGUGGAGACUUCGUUGUAAUUGAUGAUCAGGAGGAGCAGGAAUUUAUCACCAGACGAGCCGUGCCCUUCAGCUC